CAGGACGAACGCUGGCGGCGUGCCUAACACAUGCAAGUCGAGCGAGGAGAUUCCUUCGGGAUGAUCCUAGCGGCGGACGGGUGAGUAACACGUGGGCAACCUGCCUCAUAGAGAGGAAUAGCCUUCCGAAAGGGAGAUUAAUACCUCAUAACAUUGCCGUUUCGCAUGGAACAGCAAUUAAAGGAGCAAUCCACUAUGAGAUGGGCCCGCGGCGCAUUAGCUAGUUGGUGAGGUAACGGCUCACCAAGGCGACGAUGCGUAGCCGACCUGAGAGGGUGAUCGGCCACAUUGGGACUGAGACACGGCCCAGACUCCUACGGGAGGCAGCAGUGGGGAAUAUUGCACAAUGGGGGAAACCCUGAUGCCAGCAACGCCGCGUGAGUGAUGACGGCCUUCGGGUUGUAAAGCUCUGUCUUCAGGGACGAUAAUGACGGUACCUGAGGAGGAAGCCACGGCUAACUACGUGCCAGCCGCCGC
rnacentral:rRNA from 1 species